GCUGACUCAUUUUACAACUUGCUUUAGAAAUGUGUUACAGUGUUAGGCAUUAAAUUACAGAUUUAGAUGAUAUUCUAUGUGGGUUUUCUGAAUUGCAAGAAAUAGAUAUGAUAAUAAAAUGUUAUACAUUUCGGUAUAUUCUGCUUCAAGCUGUCAGUUGAUCAUUUAAUGGUCAACUUGUUUUUUUUUUAGAUAGGUGAUAUUCAGAUUAAUUUUAAAGUUGAUAUUUUUGCACUGCAUGGCAUAUUUUCACUACUUUAGCUUACUAUAAUUUGUUUCAUCCCUUCACAGUCUCUUUUAGAAAAAAAUGUUAAAAUUCAUAAUUCCUGUCCUGAACUAUCUCAGG
rnacentral:lncRNA from 1 species